rnacentral:rRNA from 1 species
GAUGAACGCUAGCUACAGGCUUAACACAUGCAAGUCGAAGGACCGGCGCACGUGUGAGUAACACGUAUCCAACCUUCCCUUUACUCGGGGAUAGCCUUUCGAAAGAAAGAUUAAUACCCGAUUUAAAGGAUGGGGAUGCGUUCCAUUAGGUUGUUGGGGAGGUAACGGCUCACCAAGCCUUCGAUGGAUAGGUGGUCGGAGAGGAAGGUCCCCCACAUUGGAACUGAGACACGGUCCAACCUCCUACGGGAGGCAGGAGUGAGGUAUAUGGGUCAAUGGGCGUUAGACUGAACCAGCCAAGUAGAGUGAAGGAUGAAGGUUUAUGGGGCGUAAACUUCUUGUAUAGAAGAAUAUGUAUUAUAUGAAUAAGGAGCGGCUAACUCCGUGCCAGCAGCCGCGGUAAUUC